rnacentral:misc_RNA from 1 species
UCCCGGUUGGCCCGGGCAGUCUCGCGUGAAAAAUUCAACACACGACAAGGGUUGCGCUCGUUGCGGGACUUAACCCAACAUCUCACGACACGAGCUGACGACGGCCAUGCAGCACCUGUCACUGAGUUCCCGAAGGCACCCCGCUGUUUCCAGCAGGUUCUCAGGAUGUCAAGCCUCGGUAAGGUUCUUCGCGUAUCGUCGAAUUAAACCCCAUGCUCCACCGCUUGUGCGGGUCCCCGUCAAUUCCUUUGAGUUUUAAGCUUGCGCUCGUACUCCCCAGGCGGCAGACUUAUCGCGUUAGCUUCUCAGCCCAGGGGGUCGAUACCCCAGACUAAUAGUCUGCAUCGUUUACGGCGUGGACUAC